rnacentral:rRNA from 1 species
UACGUAGGGUGCGAGCGUUAAUCGGAAUUACUGGGCGUAAAGGGUGCGCAGGCGGUUAUUUAAGUCAGAUGUGAAAUCCCCGGGCUCAACCUGGGAACUGCGUUUGUGACUGUAUGACUAGAGUACGGUAGAGAGGGGUGGAAUUCCUGGUGUAGCAGUGAAAUGCGUAGAUAUCAGGAGGAACAUCGAUGGCGAAGGCGACUCACUGGCCCGAUACUGACGCUGAGGCGCGAAAGCGUGGGGAGCAAACAGG